UACGUAGGGGGCAAGCGUUGUCCGGAUUUAUUGGGCGUAAAGAGCGUGUAGGCGGCCAUGUAGGUCCGUUGUGAAAACUCGAGGCUCAACCUCGGGACGCCGAUGGAAACCAUGUGGCUAGAGUCCGGAAGAGGAGAGUGGAAUUCCUGGUGUAGCGGUGAAAUGCGCAGAUAUCAGGAGGAACACCAAUGGCGAAGGCAGCUCGCUGGGACGUGACUGACGCUGAGACGCGAAAGCGUGGGGAGCAAACAGG
rnacentral:rRNA from 1 species